rnacentral:rRNA from 1 species
UACGGAGGAUGCAAGCGUUAUCCGGAAUGAUUGGGCGUAAAGCGUCCGCAGGUGGCAAUGUAAGUCUGCUGUUAAAGAGUCUAGCUCAACUAGAUAAAAGCAGUGGAAACUACAUAGCUAGAGUACGUUCGGGGCAGAGGGAAUUCCUGGUGUAGCGGUUGAAAUGCGUAGAGAUCAGGAAGAACACCAGUGGCGAAGGC